CCUUUUUCACAACCCUAGCUGCCACCCCCUCCUCCUCCCACCUCAGUCGCCGCCGCCUCCUCCUGCUCCUCCUCCCACCUCAAUCGCCUCCUAGGAGAGCUCGGCACGAUGGGGUGGCCGUGGAGCUCGCCUCGUCCGGAGACAAGGUGGAUCCCAUGCAGGGCAUCCGGCAGCGCUGGCUUCUCCUCUCCUACGCCACCGUUGCCCACCCCUCCUCAUUUCGUGCGGGCACGGAGGUGAGCUUCUCUAGCGGCGGCGGCGAUCUGCAGUCAAAGGGCGACGGUGGCGGCGCUCGAUUUGAUCUAUAGGAGAGAGAGAAGAUGAGAGAGAGAGAGAAGGAAGGAGAGGAGGGAGAAAUAGAGAGGAAAGAGGAGAGGGAUGUGCGGCGGCGGCCGAGAGAGGGUCACCGAAGGAACAACUGAUCAUCGUUCAUACCGCGCUGGGCCAGAGAUGGCUCUGUACAGCCCACGCGUCCGCAGGUUCAUUCUUCCUUCCUGUUGCUCUCAUCUUUUGAUUAGCUGUAACUGCAUGUUUGUGUCAGUGCUAUGCCUACUGUCGUUGGGCAGUACUUUAGGCAAGUCAACCUUCCAAUUCAGUACACGUCUGCACAAGGAGAAGAGCCCCCUGUUAGCUUUUCUUUUUGCAGAUUAGACCAAUAAUCUACAUCAGUCGAUUUGAGGGUAUGCUGAAUAUGAUAUUUAAUGAAUAUGGUCAUUUUGUUGUUCAAAGUACACAAGUGGUUGCCCAUGAAGUCUCCUCCUUGCCCGGCUUAUUUAUUAAGAUCAACAGGGGGAAGGUCCAGGGUGAGACCUUCAAGAUGGAUUUGAGGUUGCUAUUAUUUCAGUUUGCAGAUAGAGGAUGUUAUUCUAGCAAGACAGAGAUGGCUCUUUACAGCCCACGCGUCCGCAGAGUACACAAGUGGUUGCCCAUGAAGUCUCCUCCUUGCCCGGCUUAUUCAUUAAGAUCAACAGGGGGAAGGUCCAGGGUGAGACCUUCAAGAUGGAUUUGAUGUUGCUAUUAUUUCAGUUUGCAGAUAGAGGAUGUUAUUCCAGCAAGACAGUGACGAUGGCGAUGACAAGUGAGAUUUAUGUUAAGGAGUAUUAGCAUAUGCUCACAGGAUCACUGGAAGCAUAUAAAGAUCAACAGGGGGAAGGUCCAGGGUGAGACCUUCAAGAUGGAUUUGAUGUUGCUAUUAUUUGAGUUUGCAGAUAGAGGAUGUUAUUCCAGCAAGACAGUGACGAUGGCGAUGACAAGUGAGAUUUAUGUUAAGGAGUAUUAGCAUAUGCUCACAGGAUCACUGGAAGCAUAUAAAGAUCAACAGGGGGAAGGUCCAGGGUGAGACCUUCAAGAUGGAUUUGAUGUUGCUAUUAUUUCAGUUUGCAGAUAGAGGAUGUUAUUCCAGCAAGACAGUGACGAUGGCGAUGACAAGUGAGAUUUAUGUUAAGGAGUAUUAGCAUAUGCUCACAGGAUCACUGGAAGCAU